GAACGGUAGCACAGAGGAGCUUGCUCCUUGGGUGACGAGUGGCGGACGGGUGAGUAAUGUCUGGGAAACUGCCCGAUGGAGGGGGAUAACUACUGGAAACGGUAGCUAAUACCGCAUAACGUCUUCGGACCAAAGUGGGGGACCUUCGGGCCUCACACCAUCGGAUGUGCCCAGAUGGGAUUAGCUAGUAGGUGGGGUAAUGGCUCACCUAGGCGACGAUCCCUAGCUGGUCUGAGAGGAUGACCAGCCACACUGGAACUGAGACACGGUCCAGACUCCUACGGGAGGCAGCAGUGGGGAAUAUUGCACAAUGGGCGCAAGCCUGAUGCAGCCAUGCCGCGUGUAUGAAGAAGGCCUUCGGGUUGUAAAGUACUUUCAGCGGGGAGGAAGGCGAUGUGGUUAAUAACCGCAUCGAUUGACGUUACCCGCAGAAGAAGCACCGGCUAACUCCGUG
rnacentral:rRNA from 1 species